UACGUAGGUGGCAAGCGUUGUCCGGAUUUACUGGGUGUAAAGGGCGUGCAGCCGGGCUGACAAGUCAGAUGUGAAAUCCCGCGGCUCAGCCGCGGAACUGCAUUUGAAACUGUCAGUCUUGAGUACCGGAGAGGUCAUCGGAAUUCCUUGUGUAGCGGUGAAAUGUGUAGAUAUAAGGAAGAACACCAGUGGCGAAGGCGGAUGACUGGACGGCAACUGACGGUGAGGCGCGAAAGCGUGGGGAGCAAACAGG
rnacentral:rRNA from 1 species